AGCAAGAGGAUAACUUGUUUGGAGUGAAGGAGAUAAGUAUUUCUACCUGGUCAUAAGUAACUCAGGGAAAUAUUCUAACGACUGAGCUUAGCUCACAUAAGGCUUGGGGAAGGUGCUUUAGGGAUUGGAAUAGCUUGAGUGAAGGUUAGUGGAGGUUUCUGGGUGGUUAUUUUGAACUGAAACUCUCUGAAACCAAGAAAUACGAUUUAUGUUUUUGGAGCUUGGGUGAAAUAUGCUGAGGUAAUUGGGGGCCUUUUUUCAGCGUGCUUGAAC
rnacentral:lncRNA from 1 species